rnacentral:rRNA from 1 species
UAAGGAAUAUUGGUCAAUGGGCGGAAGCCUGAACCAGCCAUGCCGCGUGCAGGAAGACGGCCCUACGGGUUGUAAACUGCUUUUGCAGGGGAAUAAACCCCCGAUCGAAACCGGGGCUGAAUGUACCUUGAGAAUAAGGAUCGGCUAACUCCGUGCCAGCAGCCGCGGUAAUACGGAGGAUCCGAGCGUUAUCCGGAUUUAUUGGGUUUAAAGGGUGCGUAGGCGGCCUGGUAAGUCAGGGGUGAAAGACGGUAGCUCAACUAUCGCAGUGCCUUUGAUACUGCAGGGCUUGAAUGUACUUGAGGUAGGCGGAAUGUGACAAGUAGCGGUGAAAUGCAUAGAUAUGUCACAGAACACCAAUUGCGAAGGCAGCUUACUAAAGUAUGAUUGACGCUGAGGCACGAAAGCGUGGGGAUCAAACAGGAUUAGAUACCCCGGUAGUCC